GUGAAAUUGUUGAAAGGGAAACGAUUGAAGCCAGUCGUACCUAUGGGUAAUCAGCCUUUUGGGUGUGAUUCUGUGGAACGUGAGGAGUUAAACGCCUUCAUGCCUGCAUAUUCGUGCACUUUGGGUGUACUUGCCCGUAUGGUUGGUUAACAUCAAUUUUGGUUGUCAUAAAAUGACUGGAGGAAUGUAGCUUCGAUCUCGGUUGAAGUGUUAUAGCCUUUGGUAGAUGUAAUGAUUGGGAUUGAGGAUUGCAACGGAUACCCUCUGGGCUAUUCGUCUGAUCUCUGGAAGUUACUUUGGUGUCGAAAGCGUGCUUACGAUAUUAAGGUUGACGGCCAAUAGGUUAGAACGUGAUUAAAUUCGUUAAGGAUGUUGACGUAAUGGCUUUAAACGAC
rnacentral:rRNA from 1 species